rnacentral:sRNA from 1 species
UACUGUACGACUACGUGUGAUCACUCUGUAUUCUGAGGCAGCUUGAGAAGGAGUUGACCAACUCAGACUUCUCCCCUGCCACCCUGGGAGACGUCCCAGGGAU